AUUGAACGCUGGCGGCAGGCCUAACACAUGCAAGUCGAACGAGUGGCGGACGGGUGAGCAAGGUCUGGGAAACUGCCUGAGGGAGGGGGAUAACUAAUGGAAACGGUAGCUAAUACCGCAUACCAUCAGAUGUGCCCAGAUGGGAUUUGCUUGUUGGUGGGGUAACGGCCCACCAAGGCGACGAUCCCUAGCUGGUGGGAGAGGAUGACCAGCCACACUGGAACUGAGACACGGUCCAGACUCCUACGGGAGGCAGCAGUGGGGAAUAUUGGACAAGGGGCGAAAGCCUGAUGCAGCCAUGCCGCGUGUAUGAAGAAGGCCUUCGGAUUGUAAAGUACUUUCAGCGGGGAGGCGUUACCCGCAGAAGAAGCACCGGCUAACUCCGUGCCAGCAGCCGCGGUAAUAC
rnacentral:rRNA from 1 species